ACUCUGCGACUGUGAGGAGGGGACGCCUGUGUGUCUGGUGGUUACACACCCCGGGGACAACCCUGGACCUUCUUCACAUGGAAUAGACAGCAGAUGAUAUAAACCCUUGGUCCCCUACGGGGUCAGGACGAGAGACCCAAUUCGGUAAAGAAUGAGCGGGAAAAGGAAAGAAAACCUCUGGUGAAACAGGAGCCUGGGCUUGAGCAGCCUCCGGGUUUACUAUUAGCUAUGACUUUGGACAAGAGAUUUAAUCUCUCGGAGCCUCGGUUUUCUCAUCGGUAAAAAAGGAAUACCAGCAGAAUGAGCCCUCGCUGCCUUCCCGGGGCUGUGUGGAGAGUGCCCGUGGUGCUGACUCUGGCCACUCACUCUUGGUUGCCACCUGCUGAGCCGUCCAGGCAGGGAUCUGAGUCAUUCUGACCCGGCCCGCCCGUCAGAUGCCACAGAAGUCGGACUGGUGGCCCUAGGGCAGCUGGAGCCUGAGAGAGCAGGCAAAGGGUCCAGGCAGGGAUCACUGCACGUCAAGCCGUGGAUUGCUCCCGCCCUGAACCGCCAUGUCACUGUCCUGAACGUGAGACUGCUCAGCCUCUCAAGCGCAUGGUCCCCAGAGCAGAGGCACUGGGUUUCCUCCCCGCUCAGAGACGGCUUGGCAGCUGCAGCGCCUCCUGCAGGCGCUCUCUGAGGCUGGGGACACUGGGGGAGGACAGCGCAGCGGGCAGUUUGGUGGGCUUGGGAGUCAGAUCCUGGGUUCCGUUCCUGGCUUUGCCACUCCCUGGUUGUGUGGUCCUGGGCAUGCUAUUUAGUAUCUUGCUAAACCUCAAUUUCCUCGUCUGUGAAAUAGGGAAAAUAUUAGCACCUAACUCCCAGGACUGUGUUAGGGUUUAACAAGGUAAGAACUUUAUCUCAGGGCAAGCACUGGGCCCAGGGCCUGGCGAAUAGUCACUGAUUACUAACUGCUAGCUCAGAUUAGCAUGUCAUCCCCCGACAGUGGGCAGAAGCUGCCAAAGGAGAACCCUGGGAAAGGCACCAUGUCUGAGGGGCAGGAGAGAGGUGCCACUUUGUGUCCACAGGCCCUGGAGCCCACAUGCCUCUGCCAGCCUUCUACUAGAACUUGGUGUGCAAUUUGACUACCCAAAAAGAAAGGAGGAAAAGGAACCCACAGCAAACCUCACAUAACCCCAAAAGGGGAUUUCAGAUUUCAACCCGUGCCUUUCAUCCACAGCAGGGCGGACUUGCCACUGUGCUGCUUGGCAAACACUUCUCCCGUUUCCUCCCCGGGAGCACCCUCUGCUGUGAAGACCGGGCAAGUCCUCCAGCUUGUCUGCCUGCCUCUCCAGCUGGAGUUAGGGCCUGGCCUGAGGGGCAUGAAGGGGUGGAAGCGCCUCCAGGUUGACUUUGAAAGGAUGAAAGCAAGGUCUGGAGAGGACAGGGGUGGGCCCUGGACUCUCAGUGUGGGUGUCUCUGCACCAUGCCACUCUGCCCUCUUCCAGAAGAGCUGGGAGUCAAGGGAGAGGGGGCCAGAACCUCCGUCUGACCAGCACAGAUGGGACUGUCAGAUUAAAGGACUGCUGCCAAGACGAGGGGUCUGAAUGAGGUACUGGUGUUCUCAAUCAGAGGAAACACACACACACACACACACACACACACACACUGGCAUUACUCAAGAGAGGUGUGACCUCUGGACUACCUUCCCCGAAUGAAGGGGCCUAGAGAACUGAGAGUUGGAAGCAAAUGCAUCGCGGAGACAAAGAGGCUUGAGGCAUUGGGGUGGACACAGCGCAGGAGCCCUGACUGUGUACCUGCAACCCUCGGGGUGAGCCACCAGAUCCCUUCCAAGAUCAAGGCCCUCUCUCUGGCUGCUGGGAGUGUUGGUUUCUGACUACUCCUACCUGUGUCCUUCUCGGGAAGUGCCCUUAUCCAAAGGAGACUGCCUAAGCUUACGCCCCACCCCGGGCAUGGGCCACAUUCAGUGGCUGCCCCAGUAGGGGUGCAGGGCCCUGUGCCCCCUUGCCUUGAUCUGGGACACCUGAAGGGCCACCUGGCUCUCAAGCUUUCCAGGCCGAGACCAUUUCAGGACUGCACCAGAGUUCAGCGUCUGCCUCUGCCCGAUCCCGCCCUCUCCUCCCUGAGAGCUCUCCCCAGUAAAACUCCUGCACACACAUCUGAGUCUGCUUCCUGGGACCUUGACCUAUUUUGCUCAUCUGUCAUUCUUUCACCCAUUUGUCCUUUUUUACAGUCACUUACUGAGCACCCACCAGGCAUGGCCAAUGAAUGGACCAGGGAGGAUCUCUGUACUCCUUCCCAGAGCUCUGUCUGUGGCCUUGAAGACUCCUUCCUCAUUUCUACGUAGCAAGAAAACAGAAGCAGGCAUCCCACCCCACCACCGGGAUUCCUGGGAGAAGUGGGCUGUUUUAAGCCAGAAUCCCCCUGGGAAUCUGCGGGCAUGCGAUAGCUGGUAGCUGCAGCAUGUAGCCUACUCCAACCCCACAGUUACCUCAUGAAGAAAAGCAGGUCUCACCUUUUAUUGAGCACCAUGUUCCCGAGCUUCAGGUCUCUGUGCACAAUGUUUUUCUGGAAGACAACAAAAUGGUUUGCACCAUGAAGGUGAGUGAGGGCUGGGGGCGGCCCAGCCAGCAAGGUGUUUGGGAAGGUGGGAUAAAACUCUGUGACAUGCCUUUUAAGGCUCUGCCUUGAUUUGUAAGCCCCAGACAGACCAGGACUAUUCUAAGACCUCAUUAGCCAUGUGUAUGGAUGGGGUAAUAGGUGAGCUUAGGCAAUCUCUGCCCCACCCAGGGCGGGUUCCCAGCUUUAUCCGCUCAGGGCAGCAGCCAGUGGGAAAACCCAGUCCUUUCUCCACCUCUAUCAAACUUCUUAUUGAAAACUAAGCAUCUGCCUGGAGCCGGAAUCAGAGAUGAACUCUCCUGACUCUGGAGACCAAGUCUGCAGGCUUGGCCCACAGAAGCUGUGAGUCUGCAAGAGGCUCUCCUAACCUGGGCAUUGGGGUACUUGACACCUCCAAUCCUAGGAAAAGCUCAGAGGUAGGCUGUGGCCCCAGUGGAUAUCUCACAGUCAGCACCCAAGAUGGGAGGCUCAUGUUUAGCUCCUUGCCUGAGAGGGAUCCCUGCUCUGGGCUCUGCUCCGUGCCCAUUGCGCCCCCCCCCCCCCC